CGCACGGGUGAGUAACGCGUAUCCAACCUGCCGUCUACUCUUGGACAGCCUUCUGAAAGGAAGAUUAAUACAAGAUGGCAUCAUGAGUCCGCAUGUUCACAUGAUUAAAGGUGUUCCGGUAGACGAUGGGGAUGCGUUCCAUUAGAUAGUAGGCGGGGUAACGGCCCACCUAGUCUUCGAUGGAUAGGGGUUCUGAGAGGAAGGUCCCCCACAUUGGAACUGAGACACGGUCCAA
rnacentral:rRNA from 1 species